CUCCGGAUGGCCAAGCUGGUAAGGCGUCAGACUGUAAUGGUUUAUCGAUUAUCUGAAAAUCGCGUGUUCGAGUCACGCUCCGGAGA